rnacentral:rRNA from 1 species
GAUGAGCGCUGGCGGCGUGCCUAAUACAUGCCAGUCGAGCGAACAGACGAGGAGCUUGCUCCUCUGGCGUUAGCGGCGGACGGGUGAGUAACACGUGGAUAACCUACCUAUAAGACUGGGAUAACUUCGGGAAACCGGAGCUAAUACCGGAUAAUAUAUUGAACCGCAUGGUUCAAUAGUGAAAGACGGUUUUGCUGUCACUUAUAGAUGGAUCCGCGCCGCAUUAGCUAGUUGGUAAGGUAACGGCUUACCAAGGCAACGAUGCGUAGCCGACCUGAGAGGGUGAUCGGCCACACUGGAACUGAGACACGGUCCAGACUCCUACGGGAGGCAGCAGUAGGGAAUCUUCCGCAAUGGGCGAAAGCUUGACGGAGCAACGCCGCGUGAGUGAUGAAGGUCUUCGGAUCGUAAAACUCUGUUAUUAGGGAAGAACAAAUGUGUAAGUAACUAUGCACGUCUUGACGGUACCUAAUCAGAAAGCCACGGCUAACUACGUG